GUGCCAGCCGCCGCGGUAAUACAGAUGUCCCGAGCGUUGUUCGGAUUCACUGGGCGUAAAGGGUGCGCAGGUGGGUCGGCAAGUUUGAUGUGAAAGCCCCGGGCUUAACCCGGGAAUGGCAUUGAAUACUGUUGAUCUGGAGGAUCGGAGGGGGGACUGGAAUUCUUGGUGUAGCAGUGAAAUGCGUAGAUAUCAAGAGGAACACCAGUGGCGAAGGCGAGUCCCUGGACGAUACCUGACACUGAGGCACGAAAGCCGGGGGAGCAAACAGGAUUAGAUACCCUGGUAGUCC
rnacentral:rRNA from 1 species